rnacentral:rRNA from 1 species
GAUGAACGCUGGCGGCGUGCCUAAUACAUGCAAGUCGAGCGAACGGACGAGAAGCUUGCUUCUCUGAUGUUAGCGGCGGACGGGUGAGUAACACGUGGAUAACCUACCUAUAAGACUGGGAUAACUUCGGGAAACCGGAUCUAAUACCGGAUGAUAUUUUGAACCGCAUGGUUCAAAAGUGAAAGACGGUCUUACUGUCACUUAUAGAUGGAUCCGCGCUGCAUUAGCUAGUUGGUAAGGUAACGGCUUACCAAGGCAACGAUGCAUAGCCGACCUGAGAGGGUGAUCGGCCACACUGGAACUGAGACACGGUCCAGACUCCUACGGGAGGCAGCAGUAGGGAAUCUUCCGCAAUGGGCGAAAGCCUGACGGAGCAACGCCGCGUGAGUGAUGAAGGUCUUCGGAUCGUAAAACUCUGUUAUUAGGGAAGAACAUAUGUGUAAGUAACUGUGCACAUCUUGACGGUACCUAAUCAGAAAGCCACGGCUAACUACGUG